UACGAAGGGGGCUAGCGUUGCUCGGAAUCACUGGGCGUAAAGCGCACGUAGGCGGAUUGUUAAGUCAGGGGUGAAAUCCUGGAGCUCAACUCCAGAACUGCCUUUGAUACUGGCGAUCUUGAGUCCGGGAGAGGUGAGUGGAACUGCGAGUGUAGAGGUGAAAUUCGUAGAUAUUCGCAAGAACACCAGUGGCGAAGGCGGCUCACUGGCCCGGUACUGACGCUGAGGUGCGAAAGCGUGGGGAGCUAACAGG
rnacentral:rRNA from 1 species